rnacentral:lncRNA from 1 species
GUGCCACGCGUCUUGAAGCCCUACAACAGAAAACCCGUACUGCAAUCGUGAGAGAAAAAGAGGAGCCUGCGAAUCAAGAGAGAUGGAGAUGGUUGUUGGCGACGGCAGACGCGGCGGAGGCCGUUCUGUGCUCCGACGAUGAGUAACUACGGCGGUAGCGAUGUUUUCGGCGGCGGCUAGGGUUUCGUCGAUCCAUGGGUUCUUAUGACGUUCGUCGAAAUCCCCGAUUUUGGCAUAGCAUCUGGAUUUUGAGGCACGGCGUUCGUCGGAACCCUAGAUCGUCGCAUGCCCUCUGGUGUCGAUGAUGGCUAGGGUUUCCUAUGCUGAGACUAACAAAAUUUGAUGAGUUGUGGUUGCUUUUAUCCACGGUUUAUCGAUGACGAUAGGUGUCUUAAUCUUAGAUGUUCAUGAUUUGAAUUUUGAAAUCGUAAGUCACUUAUGUGUUACCUUUGCUGCUUUGGGUUUUCACAUACCACGUAUAUUGUAUGUAUAUAAAUCUGUGAUUUGUAGAGUUCCUUUAAUGAUGGAGCUACAUGCAUUUGGUCUGUAUACUGUUUUUGGCAUCCAUGUUGUGCGACCAUUAUUUGGCGUUUUGGAUACUGAGCUAGGCGAUGAUGAUCGUGUGGGUGUAAAUCGAGAUGAUGAUUUAACCGUGGCGUGGCAUGUUUGAGAGAUGGUAGAUGUUCAUCUGCAGCCUCCAUUGCAGCCACGAUUAUCUCUUCCAUUUACACCCUUUGAGCCUCUAAUUCUAUGCAACUUGCUGGUAAUGUAUUUAUUGCUUUGAAUUUGAUAGUUUGAUAUGUUUGGAGCGUUGCUUUAGUGGUUUAUAGGCUAUUUAUGUCUGUCAUUGGCACUGGUUCGAAUCUCCCCAGACGUGAUUCAACUGCAUUCGUACAUGGGAGCGAUGGCUCACAAGCUUGCGUAUUGUGUUCCUGGUAAUACUUGAGGUAAUACUUGACUGAGUUCUAUAGAAUCAAGUCAACAUGACUCUUAAUUUAACUAUCAUUUUGAGCAGAUUCAAUUACUUUAGUCACGACUCGCGACUUGGUUCAAUAAUAUCAAUAUGCUUUUAUUUUAGCAGUUGGAUUGAAGUGUUCGUAGCUGUUUAGUUAUUCAUUUAUUUUAAUGUGUUAAGUGAUUUUGGAAAAGCACAAGUAUCAAAUAACACUUUGGAGCAUAACUUGGCUUGCGCGAAAGGUCAAACUACGUUGUUCCUUGGUGACUUUUCGUAUUAUGUCCAUCAAGAGUAGUGCAUACGAGCCAGGCCGGAUAUAUAGCGCUGGAAAUCAUAAAUUCAACUUUGCUUCUGAAAUUGUAAGACUAAUAUACAUGUAUAACCUGAAUAAUGCAGACCGCAAAACAUAAUUACAGUGCCUCAUGAAUUGGUUAUAAAAAUUAAGGCAAUAUGUCGCCAUCGCGCGACAACUAUGGAGGAUGGCAGCUUAGCAGCUGCAACCCCUAUUGCAGCCAAUUUUGUUGAAGCUUUGGUGUGCAGGUGUUUGUUGCCAUUUACCACAACUGUAAGAUCAAAUGGUUAUUACGAGUUAAUGAUGAUUCGAACACGGGAGAUGGAUCUGAAAGCGGGUUUGGUGGAAGUGAUAAUGUAGAAGGUGCAUUUGGUGGUGAACAAGAUAUCCCCACCGACUCAUCUUCGACUUCGCGUUGGAGACGAAAAUAUCACCGGCAAACUCCUCGGCUCUUUAUAAAAUGGAUUGACUGGAUGAAGUCUUCAAAGUUGCUUAGCCUGAACCACCAUUGACACCUGUAUUAGAUUUGUUUUUGCGAUUGGGAAAUGGUGGUAGUGCACUGAAUGCUAUACAGAACGGCUAUGCGCAGCAACAUGCGGAUUGCUAAAACGCCAACCCGACAAGAUCCAAAAAAGACCACUUUUUGUAAUAUGGUUAAAACAACAAACCAAAGUCAUAUUUUGCAUUGCUCCUAAAUGUGUAUGUGUCUGUUAGGCCACCUAAUAGAACUAUAAAUUGCCAAAUCUGUUCUUUUCUAAUUUGUAAUACGACUACCAUUACCGCUGAUUUUAUAACAUUUUAUAACAUAUGAAAAUACAGACUAAAAAGGAAAAAAUGUUCACCGCAACGCGGCGACGUUGA